ensembl:snRNA U6 U6 spliceosomal RNA
GUGCUUGCUUCGGCAGCACAUAUACUAAAAUUAGAAUGAUAUAGAGAAGAUAAGCAUGGCCCCUGCACAAGGAUGACACACAAAUUUGUGAAGCGUUCCAUAUUUUU